UAGAACACCCACGGACUGAGUCAGAGUGGGAGAACAGUUUUGCUCUCAAGAUGUUUCUCUUCCAGUUUGUUAACUUGAACAGUUCUACCUUCUACAUUGCAUUCUUCCUUGGAAGGUUCGCCGGCAGACCAGGGAAAUAUAAUAAACUGUUUAACAGAUGGAGACUGGAGGAGUGCCACCCCAGUGGCUGUCUGAUCGAUCUGUGUCUACAAAUGGGAGUCAUCAUGGUACUGAAACAGAUCUGGA